CAUUACGUCUUUCUAGCUUUAACAGUGGCGUCUCUACUAUUUAGAACUAUACGUAGAUUAUUACAAAAAUGCGUAUAUUUUGUUAUUAGAUAGCGUUUUCGAUUGUGAAAUUAGAAUUACACACACAUUCGAAACCGCUAUAAAUGUUUUAAAAAUUGUGGAUGUUAUGGCUAAUAUCUGUACCAAUAAAACAGCUAUUAUAGGUAGUUAAUACCUGAAAUUUGAAUAUCAAAAUUGCUAUCGCUAUUUUUCAAAAUUAAUAGGAAAAUAUAAAUAAAAUAAAAUCCAGAUUUUCAAUAUUUCAUUGUUACCGCCAGCCAUACGCGCAGACGCGAGCAAAAGGUAUAUUCUAACCUCAAAUUUUGUCAAAAAAUAAAUAAUGAAGUGAUCUCAAACAUUUAGCCGAGUAUCCGUACUUAAACAGUUAAUACAUUAUUUGUAGAAUAUCAAUCAAAUUUACAUCAAUAACUUUAAGAUUGGCGGCGUACAUAAAAGGUACCAUCACCAUUUUUACAAUUACUUCAGACCAGAGCUUCAGACUUUAGCUAUUGUGUAAUUCUUCCCCUAAUGUUGAAAGAAAACUGUUUUUACGAUCUACAUGGUAUAUUUGAGCUCUAGUUAUUAUUAGCAGGUUUUAGAUAUUAACCGUAACAUAUAUUAUAGCUUUACUGUAAAUACUGAGCGUAGACAGCGAAGCAUUUCACUCUAGAAUUUGGAAAAUCAAUCAAAAGUGUGCAAUCAAAUUUGUUCUGAUAAGUUUGAUAAGAGCGAUAUUAUGAUCACCGAAUAAACUGGUUGAAGGCAAAUAAGACCAAAUGCUGAGCCUCAAAUAGAUACUACCAUUUUUGCUGGGGCCUUAUCAUGCAGCAUAGUAAGAUAAUUCUCAUUUUCUGAUCUUUCAAUAGUUGGAUAUUUAUUGGCUCAAGAAGUCCUAUCAGAAAAAGAAAGAAGUAUGUUAAUGAGGUAUAAUAAUGAUAUUAUGUAGAAAUUUAAGUCUCAUAAAAAUUUGGGAACAAAGAAAAUGAAAAAUAUAUACUUUACAAAUGGGUCUAAGAAGAUUGAAAAAUAAAAUAACAUCAAUGCAUCAAUUAAUUGAUUACUUAAAAGAAAAAUCUUUGAUAAGUGAAUCAUCUGAAUUGACCAUAAGGGUAUAAAUAUAGGUAUGCAGGGUGACAUUUUAAAAACAUAAUGGUUAUUAUGUGAAGAUCCAAAAAAACAAAAAUCGCUAAAAGCAAUUUCUAAUUGACCCUGUAUCUCUUACCUUUCUGAGAUUUCAAUGCUUAUAAUUGUUAUCUUGGACGCACUAUAUAUGUAUAUAUCUGAGUGGCGGAGGGGAACUCUAAUAAUGUAAAGUUAUCAGCCAUUUAUUACUUUAGUCCUAAAGCCAUUAUGCCAAAAUCUGCCAAGAUUCAUUAACAAGUUUUAAAGUUGGUUCUGGUUUAAUUUUGUGAAUGAUAUACUAAUCCAUAUGACAGUGGCAUAAAUACGAUUAAUGGAAGGUUCUAAUUUCCAUGACAAGGCCAGGUCUAAAUUUUAAAACCCUUUAGUGAAUUUGGAUGUGUCUAAAAAAGACUAAUAAUAAUAUUAUAGAGGUAUAAUAUUAACAGAGAUAAUAUAUGUUUUUUUAGGCUUCCCUAGCUGGGCCAGCACAAAGUAUUUUUGAAAGAAUGUUAAAAGGACCUGCCACACAAAAAUCCAAUCCUCUGCUACUAUCCUUUGCUUUAACAUUGUAAUUUUAUUCACCGAAAACAUAGAAUUUUAUAAAGGAUACAUAAACUGGCCCAAUAUUUUUGAUAUUUUUAACUCUCAGAAUGGAUUUACAAAAUAUUCAUAUAAAAAAUUAUCAAAAUAUAAGAACAACAUACUUUUUAGUAAUUUUGAAAUAAUUUAAUUGUAUAUUAUUGGACUUACUUUAAAAGAAAGGCCAA